UUAAAAACGAUCUUUUUUUUUUUUGUCAAAUCCAAAAAUAUCUAAAUAACAUAAAGGGGCGCAUGAAAAAAAAUAAGUAAAAAAAAAUCGUAAGUUAAAAUUUCCAUUUUAAAAAAUUUUAUCAAUUUUUUUACACGAAUUUUCAUUUUUUGAUUUAACAUUCGAUGGAAUUUCUUUCCAAACGAAUUUUUUUAGCAGAAUUUUUAGGUAGGGAAUGUGAAAUUGAAAGAAUUUUUAAUUUACAUAAUUUCUCUUUACGUAACUUUUUUAAAAAAAAAAUUCCAAUUAGUCCGAAUUUCAAUUUAGCAAAAUUCUAAUUUAAUAGAAUUUUAUGUGAUUCGAAUUUUUUUAUUGUCAGAAUUUUCGAUUUAAACCAAAUCUUAAAUUAUCCGAAUUUUAAUUUGCACCAAUUUUUAUUUAAUAGAAUUCUCUUAAAUUCCGAAUUUUCAUUUGUCCGAAAUUGCAAAUUGCCGAAAAAACAAUCGACAAAAUUUGAUCCGAAUUUAAAAAUUUACGAAUCAAUAUUUUUUUAAAUUUCUGAUUCGUCAAUUUUAAAAAUCGUGCCCAUAUCUUUUUGCGAGUAUUUGCAAUUUUUGAUAAAUAAAAAUUCGGCGUUUUACGAAUUUUAACAAUUAACAAGUCGUUUAAAAGAAAAUUGGAGAAUUGGAAAUUCUGGCAAAUAAAAUAUUCGAAUCACAUAAAAUUCUGUCGAAUGAGAAUUUUGAUAAAUUAAAAUUCGGUUUAAUUGUGGAAUUCUUUUAAAUUUAAAAGUUGGGUAAAGAGAAAUUCUGUAAAAAAUAAUUAUAUGUUUGUUAAAUAAAUAAAAACGACGGGUGCGUGUUUUUGAAAUAUUUGACAAAAAUGCAAAGGAUCGAUGCAUAAUCACUUUUGGAUAGAACGACCAAUUAUUAAAAUGUUUUCAAAGGAGAAUAAUAAUGAGAGAACGAUUAUUUUAUCGAUUUUUUUCAUCGAUUUAUCAAAGAGAUCUUGAGUGGAGAUUUAUUUGGUCGUCUAAAUAAAGGGAUCUAAGAAGCAAAAAUAAUAAUAAAGAUGAAAUUUUUACCAGUCCAAAAUCUUCCCAUUGGAUCAACUUUUCCAUCAUUGAAUCGUGUGCCCUGACUGUGUUUUAAUGCUGUCGCCAACUUUCUAAUUGGAGUGUCUGUACAAUUAUUUUCACCGUCCCACGUGACAAGAAUAAUAUCCUUACUGCAACCAGCCACAAA